rnacentral:rRNA from 1 species
UACGUAGGGGGCAAGCGUUGUCCGGAAUUAUUGGGCGUAAAGCGCGCGCAGGCGGUUAAUUAAGUCUGGUGUUUAAGGCUGUGGCUCAACCACAGUUCGCACUGGAAACUGGUUAACUUGAGUGCAGAAGAGGAAAGUGGAAUUCCACGUGUAGCGGUGAAAUGCGUAGAGAUGUGGAGGAACACCAGUGGCGAAGGCGACUUUCUGGGCUGUAACUGACACUGAGGAGCGAAAGCAUGGGGAGCGAACAGG